GGGCGCCUAGCUCAGUCGGUUAGAGCGCAGCCUUCACACGGCUGAGGUCAUGGGUUCGAGUCCCGUGGCGCCCA
rnacentral:tRNA from 1 species